rnacentral:rRNA from 1 species
CCUACGGGAGGCAGCAGUGAGGAAUAUUGGUCAAUGGCCGCAAGUCUGAACCAGCCAAGCCGCGUGCAGGAAGACGGCCCUAUGAGUUGUAAACUGCUUUUGUCCGAGGGCAAACUCAGAUACGCGUCUCUGUCUGAAAGUAUCUUACGAAUAAGCAUCGGCUAACUCCGUGCCAGCAGCCGCGGUAAUACGGAGGAUUCAAGCGUUAUCCGGAUUUAUUGGGUUUAAAGGGUGCGCAGGCGGUAGGAUAAGUUAGAGGUGAAAUCCCGAGGCUCAACGUCGGAAUUGCCUCGGAUACUGUUCGGCUAGAGAGUAGUUGCGGUAGGCGGAAUGUAUGGUGUAGCGGUGAAAUGCUUAGAGAUCAUACAGAACACCGAUGGCGAAGGCAGCUUACCAAGCUACUUCGGACGGUGAGGCACGAAAGCGUGGGGAGCAAACAGGAUUAGAUACCCGGGUAGUC